AACACAACUCGGGCAAGACUAGGGGCCCAGGUUUCCAGAGCCUCCCUCCAAGGUGCGGUCUCUACCUCCACUUUCCCCAAGCAAAACAGAAAGGAAGUUGCUAAUUGCCAGUGGUUACAAGGAAUUCCUGACAAGGAAACCAGAGGCAGGAAGACCCGGAGACCUUCUGAAGUCUGCAGCUCUCUGGAUUUCACACCAAAUUCCAGCUGGGUUUCUCAAGCAGCGGUAAAGUCCCCAUGCCUUCUCCAUAUUCACUCUUCUUCGGGCCGGUUGCUGAAGAAGGAGUUGCUUGUCUGUGGACCCUCUAGGGCCUCACUGUAAGGGCCUGGAGGUCAGCUGACCACCCACGCUUUCUCAGAGAAGGCAGCUGGAGCCCAGAGGCCAGGAAGGUCAACUCACAGAGGACAUGGGAGCUGAGUCACAAUCUCGAUCAUGCAGGUUGUGAGACCCCCCACAUCGCUCAAGUGGCUACAUCUUAGCCAGGGGAGCCACGGCUCUCUUGGAGAAACACUCUGCUGAGGGUUCGGGGAGGGAAACCUUGCCUAUAACUGCCUAGUUGACCCUGGAUAGGAAGAGCUAGGUGAUGUACUGUUUCAUCCCUUGAUACUUCAUCCUAAUGUUCCUGGCUUCUCCACAAUACUAAAACUAGCCCAACUAAGACACCUAGUAUCACUGGGCUGUGACUUCUUCCAAGGAGGCAGAAUACUUGCCUGUAUUUGGGACUCUGCCUCUAGGGGCAGUAUUGUGCUAUCUUAGCCAAUAUGCCAUUUAUGGUCUGCUGUGUGCGACCUAAGCUCUCUCUCUAUUCAUUUGCAAAAGGAGAACCAAAGCGACACACACAGAGACUGUGAAGGAGAUGACAAGAGCUGCUUAGUGACACUGAGGGAUCCUGUACGAACCAGAGUACAGCCUACUUCUUCCUCGGGGUCAGCUGGGCAAGGUCUUCCUCCUCCACCCCAAUUGCUCAGUGCCUGGCAUACAGCAGUAGCAAAAAAACAUGAGCUGUGUUUUUUAGAGACAUCCCUGCUGUCCUGGAACUUGCUUUGUACACCAGGCUGGCCUCAAACUCACAGAGAUCCACCUGCCUGAAUGCUGAGAUUAAAGGCAUGUGCCACCA